rnacentral:lncRNA from 1 species
GAAGGGUUGUGCAGAGGAUGGAGCAGGCUCCACCUUCUUGCCUUUCGGGGACCGGCCAAGGCUGGAGCUUUGAGCUGCUGAGACAGACCACCUGCACAGGGAACAUGCAUCUCCUUUAAAGAUAAUAGGAAGAAAGAGGCUUGGCAUGGAGCAAGCUACUUAAGGACUAUUUAGGAAGAGACCUCCACAUGAAGGUGUUGGGAAGAACAGCACAUUGAAUAGUGACAUCCCUACGACAUGCCUCUCCAGGUGGUGCGACAUGCCUCUUCUCUUACCCAGGGCGCCUUGCCUCAUUAUCUCCCCCCCACCCCCCCUUUGAGUCACAGGAAGAAGAUGUGACUUUGAGAAACUGGUCUUCAAACUGGAGAGAGAGAGAGAGGGGCAUCUAGGUAAUGCUAAGUCAGAUUUUGAGACCUCCGAGGCUUGGUGCCCGUGUGUGUGUGUGUGUGUGUGUGUGUGUGUGUGUGUGUGUGUGUGUGUGCGCGCGCGCGCAUGCAUGUGUGUAGAAGGGGGAACAUGGGGACAUGGAUACAGGAGACGACACGAUGUAGGACUCCCUCCGUCCUAGUGCCCCACUCCUUAGCAAGGGUUCCCAGCUCAUGUCCAGCAGAAUAACAUUUUAGUUUCCAACUAAAGCGAUCAUCCUG